rnacentral:lncRNA from 10 species
AGAUUUCCAGAUGCCUCAUACAAGUUGAUUCCGUAUAAUCGAGUCAAGAACUUCAUGACAGUGACUCAGCAUUUAAAUCUCCUGAAGGCAGAUAUGCCACCCGAAGACAGAGAGUUACCGAACUCUGAUUUUGCCAUAGUUUGCGUACAGGCGAAACAGAAAAGAAGAGCUGACGACAUGUUUCCUGUGUGAGACUGUCUCCCGAGAAGCAGACACCAAGACAGGAUGAGAGAUGCACGGAUUUUAUUGGGAAAAACACCUGCAGGAGAAAACGGGUGAGCACUGGUGGCUGCUGGGAGCACAGACUGCCGUGGGGUCUGAGCCUGCAGGAAGCGGGUGCGUCCUGGGGACUGCAGGUGGGGGCAUCAGCUGGGAGGUGCUGGGGCCACUCGGGCAGCUCACACAGCUCAGCAGAGCAGGCCUGCAAACAGUCCACGUGUGAGCCACUGGUGACGUGAGGUCGGCUGUGCUGCCCCCCGUGGAAGCUGGCCAGCUCAGGCGGGGGGCUCUUUACUUCCCAGAACCGGCCACCGUUACUCCCGCCAAACCAGCCCUCAGCAGGCUCCCAUGCCUCCCAGGACAGGGCCUGCCUUGGUGCCCCCUGCACCCAGGACUGGUAGGAAGUCUGUGGGAAGUGUGGGCGAUUCCCGCAGCAGCAGCGGGGCCGUUGAUGAGGCUGCCGUGGUGGCUGGGGGUGCGUGAGGCUCAGUUUCAUGGCCUCCACUCACACUCUGCGAAAUAAAGCCCCAGUUCCUCCCCUCGGUGCCCUCUGUGGCGGGGCCCCACCACCUCUGACCUUGUCUCCUGAGCUUCCGUCCCCUGCACAGGGCUGUCCUGGCCGUGCCAUGCACCUUGUCACCCCAGGCCUGAUGCCAGCUGGCUGUGUCACUGGCUCCCAUCUGCAGCUUCCUCAGUCCUCGCUGCAGGUGUGAGGGGCACUGUGGCUCCCAGGAGGUGAUGCUCAGCACAUGGCUUGGCGGAGACGGCCCGUGAUGGGAGAAGGGCUCUCUGGGCACCGGGGGCAAGACUGCAGCCAGGCCUGGCACUGGGCGGGACGGCGGCCUGGGAGACACACGUGUCUCCAUUUCUGUCUCUGUCUCUUUGUAUCUCUCUCUUUCUCUUUCUGGGUCUCUGCCUUGGUCUCUCUGUCUCACUCUGAUUCUGUCUCUGUCUCUGUAUUUUUUUUCUCUCUUGGUCUGUCUCUGCUUCUCUCUGUUUCUCUGUGUCUCUGUUUCUCUUGGACUCUGUCUGUCUGUCUGACAGGGUCAUCAGAGCCUGAACAAGCUCCUCUCCCAAUGACUUUCCAGGUGGUGAAAGGCCUGCAGCAGGCACCCUGGAUGGGAUCAGCUGCUCCGCUCCACGAGGCUCCCAGUGCCAUCUCAGCAGGUCUGCGCUGCCUCAGGUCUGAAAUGAUGUCUUCUCUUUCCUGUUUUCUGAGCGGCUCAUUCUGCUGUCAAAUAGGCCCUUUCCCCAGGACCCUUCGGGUCCAGCGUAGGAUCUGA